CGCACAAUUUGUUUACCAAAAUAUUGGCACCGUAAUUCAUAAAAAUCUUUCUCGUGCAGUAAAACUGGCGUUGAAAUGAAUGUUUAAGGUGAUUUAAACAUAAAUAUCUAAUAAAUUAGUCUACACUUAAAAAGGGCAAAUGAUCGUGCGUUAGGUAUCCGUAAUAGUGUAGUGGAAGCAUUGAAAUUGCUAGACUAAAACGUGGUGUACCAGCAGAGAAGAAAGCAAACCUUUUUCCCAAUAUUGUGCCACGAUGCCGAAAAAGAUGGGAAUAAACCCGAAGGCCGCCGAGGCCCGAGAACGCAAGGCUGAGGCUAAAAAAUCCGCCAACGAAAAGGCUGCCAAGGCAGCGGAAGAUGCUUACUGGGCGGACGACGACAAACAGCUGGCGAAGAAAAAGAAGCAAAAGGAGGAAGAAGAACGGCGCAAGGCGGAAGCGGCCCGCAAGAAGGCAGAAACCAAAGCCCUGCUCGAGCAAGAGAUGAACUCGAUCAAGACGACGGCAAAGGUUCCGGCACCGAAGAUAACCCGCUCGCAAAUCGAGGCCGAUCUAGAGAAACGCCAGCGAGCCAUCGAAGCGUCCACGGCCGUACCGUCGAAGCCGAAAGUGGUGGAGAAGGAAAUACCGCUGGAGGAAAAUCUGAACCGUGUGAUGGCGGACACGGAAGUCGCACAAACGAUCGAUCAGGCGAUUGCGGUUCUCAGCGUCGGCGACCCGUCUGCCGAUCGGCAUCCGGAAAAGCGCAUGAAGGCAGCAUACAAGGCAUACGAAGAGGAGGAAUUGAAGCGCUUGAAACUGGAAAAUCCCUCGCUGAAGCUGUCCCAACUGAAGCAGAUGAUCUUCAAAAACUGGCAAAAGGCCCCGGAAAAUCCAUUGAACCAAAUUCGAGUCUGAGUCUGAGGGCCGAGAGCUGUAGCGGAAAGCCCGAGCCGAGCGUUGUAAAUGCUGCUGCAAAUGCAGAGAUUUAUCGAACUUACCACCCAUUGACGAUUUGUGAUAUACCAACGAACGAUGAGAUGUUACUUCAUACAACAAAUAUCGAGAGGCCGUGUGGCCUAAUGGAGAAGGCGUCGGACUUCGGAUCCGAAGAUUGCAGGUUCGAGUCCUGUCACGGUCGCUUACAGAACCGUUCUCUCUACGCGGUUACCGAUCGUAACUUACUGGCUAGUGAAGGUUUUUACUGUAUUUCGCUUUCACUUCUUCUGAUACUUG